GACGAACGCUGGCGGCGUGCUUAACACAUGCAAGUCGAGCGGUAAGGCCCUUCGGGGUACACGAGCGGCGAACGGGUGAGUAACACGUGGGUGACCUGCCUCUAGCUCUGGGAUAAGCCUGGGAAACUGGGUCUAAUACCGGAUAUGACUCCACGGCGCAUGUUGUGGGGUGGAAAGCCUUGUGUGGCUAGAGAUGGGCCCGCGGCCUAUCAGCUUGUUGGUGGGGUGAUGGCCUACCAAGGCGACGACGGGUAGCCGGCCUGAGAGGGCGACCGGC
rnacentral:rRNA from 1 species